rnacentral:lncRNA from 1 species
ACUGCAAUUGUUGUAUCCUUAGAACAUCUUUCGAAGAAAGAUGAGGCAAACAGUGAGCCUGAGUGCUGGGGGAGCUGGUGUGCCAGCGUCAGGGUCCUCCUGCUUCCAGGACCUGCUCCAUCCCCAGGCAGCUGAGGCUGCGGGACCCCAUGGUGAAAUGGGUGAAUAUCAGACAGCUCAUUACAGAGACAAGCAUGCUGCGUUCCCAAAGUAAGAUGACAGAACAAGUCAUGAUGUCUUCUGAAGGAYCUCCUGAAGUAAGGGAUAAAAAAGGAAAUGAAAUUAUAUUCAUGUCCUCUGUUUGUACCCAGACUGAUGGAAAGAAGAAAGGAUGGGUA